GGGACAUGGCGGCUGUGGGGCGGGAGGGAGUGGCUGAAGGGACCAAGUGAUCUCCUAAAUCAUCACAUAAUUUAUAGUGUCACUUCAGGAACUGCAUGGUGUGGCAGCUCUGAGAGCACAUCCCUGUACUGUGGCACUCAAGGAAAGACUGAAAUGCUUUUAGGACUUCUCAGCUAUAUAAUGAGGAUCAUCUUGUUUGGGGGUAACACGGAGUAACAACAGGGUCACGCUUUCUCUGUCAGAUUCCUGUCUCAAAGGAUAUCCAGAUGAAUUUCUGUAGCAAAUGCAUGUUCUUCAUAUACAUUCCCCUUAACUCAUCUGAGUUUCAUUUCUGCUGUGAGCGUUACAUCACUGUCUCUCUGCAAGUAUCCCUGGAGUGCUUGGGAAGGACAUUCGGUCAUCAGUGGGGCUGAACUCUGUCCCAUGGAAAGUGGCAGAGAGAAAGAUCGCUGUUCUGGGUAAGAGCAGCUACUGCAUGUGGAGUCUAAGCUGCGGAGAAAUGUAUUCUGACACGUUCUCAUUUGUCUUUGCACAACUGCACAGCGGUCUGGGUAAUGCAUCUGAGCAGCCUCCUGGUCAGUCUAAAGAGUAGAGUAUUCCUCUCUUCCCAUGUAGAAAUAAAGAACUGCAGGGAUGAAUUCCACCAUCCAAGAAGCAGGCUGGAUAAGAUGGAAGUUGUGUCAGAUGGCUUCAAGGGUGCCUAAGACCACUCAGCAUUAAGUACUACUCGACUGCUGAUGCUCUUGAUAAUUGUCUCAUAUGUAAUCCCUGUUUAGCAACUGAGGGGAAAGUCGUGAUUUCCUAAAAGGGCUGUACCAUCUGUCAGUGCUACUCAGAUUUUUUUUCAAACUUCUUUUGAGUUAUUUUUUUUCUCUCUUUCUGACAUUCACCAUUCCCAGGCUGGGCUAUAGCCUGGUGAGUGUGCUGUUCAGUACCAAUUAUGACAUACAUUGAGCUGUUUCUCUUAAAAUCUGAAGUGUCUCAGCAAAUGAAAUGCCACUGACACAAAUACUGACAACCAGCUUUCCAUGUGGGGAUGUGAAGCAAGGCAGAUAACCAUUAUGGUCCUUUCAGGUAUUUCUGCAGGGAGUUCAGACUGUUUUCAUCUUCAGAACGACCCCACUGAUCCCAGAGAGCUUCUUUGUAAAAGCAGCUAUAUCUUGAAUUCCUCUGUGUCAAAAGCUGGUGAUAAACCUCAGACUUUUGCCAGAGAUAAGAGGAUCAUAUUUCAUACAACUGACAUGCUAAACCCACCCAAACCAAAGCACAGCAGGAUACAGAAUGAAGACUGCAGUAAUGCAAACUCCUGAAGAAAAAAAAACCAAAGAAGUUAGCAUGGCAAACAGCAAGAAACUAAACAAACACAGUCAAACACAACCCAUCAAGGAAGCAAAUGCACCGAGUAUGAUGAGAAAGGAAAAGUCAGAUUAGGGCCAUCUCCACUCAUGGGAACACAUGAGGAGAGGAAGCAACUACAAGCUGCACACUUUCCUCCAGAUAGAAAGGCUUGAUUUUCAGAAGUACUUUUUAGGACAGAAUUUUCUGCUUCCCACAAGGAAUAAGAUCAUUUUUUAAAGCUUAGCCUUACCAGGAAGUCAGGGUGAAUACUGGAAUGUAGUUUAACAUUGUACCCUCUGAGGAAAUGGUUAUCCCCACUAACAGGGGGUAAUUAGAAAGAAAGAUGAUGUUGCCUGUGGAACUUACUUAGAAACUUAUCUCUGGCAUUUUAUAGUGUGUUGGUAUCAAUAAAGCAGAAGGGAAUUGGUGUUGGUGGUUCAUGUGUGUGCGUGUGCACACCUCAGCCAUGCAGACCCUGAGGCAAGAGUCAGGAAGAUCAGAGGAGGAAACUGGCCUCAUCCUUUCAGCAUCCUUCCUUCAGCUACUCAUAGAUGUGAAUGAGUUCCCCUUGAACUGCUGCUUCUACAGGUUGAACAGGCCCAGAUCUCUCAGCCUUUCCUCAUAAGAGAGAUGCUCCCGCCCCUUCAUAAUCUUCAUGGCCCUACAUUGGACUCUUUCUAAUAUGUCUGUAUCUUUUUUCUGCUGGAGGGGUCAGAAAUGGGUCCAGCACUCCAGGUGUGACCUCACCAGAACGAAGGCAGCAAUAACAUAUUCUGAGCUCAAGAAGGUCUCUCAUAUUUCUCUCCAAUACAGGGAACAACCACAGUUUUUAAGGAUGUAUCAUUUUAAAAAUAAUGAGUAAUGAGAUAUAUACCUUGUUCCCUUUCUUCCAGAAGGAAGAUAUUUAGAAUAGAGCACUGACAAAGCCUAUAAUUCCGCACCACUUUCUUCUAUGAUUUUCACAGCCAGAGUAGCAAUGGGAAAGUGACGCAGGUCAGCAAUGGAGCAAAAAGCUGAAUGUCAAUUAGUGAGAAAAAGUAAAUAAAUCAGUGGCUGUACUAUUACCAAGAGGAUCAGAGGCUUGCUCUUCCUGUCUGCAGCCAGCUCUCACAGCAGCUGAACCAGGGCAACUGCCAGCGUAGGCGAAGCAAAGCGAAAUGAAGUUCAAGACCUGUUGCCAAGGGGUGGAAAGGUUUAAAAACAACAAACGCCUCAUCUUGACAAUGUAAAAUCUGCAAAGACUAGAACAGAAAGGGCCAAUUACUACCUUAUGUUCCAGUUCUAAUCUGAAAUUAUAGGAUGGAUUUCUAAUGAGGGGGAACACUGCUGGAGGCAGCUGUGGUGGAUGGAGGGGUACACUGCUGCAAUUACAGAUCUUUGUGCAUUGGUGACAGAAGUUCCAAAACUACAAGAGGAAACGCCUUUGUAAUAUUUGUUUUUGCAGAAUCAAAUAACACCCUCAAUUUGCAGUGGAAUGGAAACACUCAAGUAUGUGAGUGUUCAAAGCAGAUUGCGGCACCUGGCAUGUGAUAGGAGCUGAGCUAAGAAGGUGGAGGUGAGCCAAUGUACUGGACCAGGGCUACAUGAGUGGUGGUUGGCCAGAGCAAAUAGAGCAGUGGCAACUGGGGGGAAAAAAAAAGAUAGAGCAGAUAGAGACAAAAUCCUAGGCAGGACAUCUGAUAAAGUACAGUCAGAACAGACUCCUAUCUUCCUUUCAAGAACAUUGCUAGCAGCGAGAGUGCUGAAUGCUUAAUUAUUAUACAGUGCAUGUUUCUAGAAUGACCAAGAAAAUGAUUUUUGAUGCAACAGGCUUUGUUUUAUUAUUAUUAUUUGACUUUGUGAGAUAUACAGUCAGAGACGGUGGCUUAAAACAUGUGGUCUGCAGACUCCUAGAGAUCCAGAGGACUUCCUAGGCCAUCAGAGUGGGUAACCUUGGAACAAACCAUCAUCUUGUCCUUAUCCAAGGGUCUGCAUCUCUCCUGCAAAGCUUAUAGGGCCCUAUAAGGGGAGAAGGCUUGAAAAAACACUGCCUCUAUGCUAUUACUGUUACAUGAAAGGAAAGGGAUGGUGUUUUUCCAAUUAACACUUCCAUGGAUGUACUAUGACUCAACUCCGCUGCAUGACUAUUUUUUCAGAGUAAUUUUGCUGUAUUCAGAUCAAGAAGUGGCCAUGCAAUGAACAACAGUUGCAUGAUUUGUAUUCUUCUCAUAGUUUAAUGUGGCAUAAGACUUUAUUGACUAUUCUUUUAUUUGUUCCCCGAGGUACUUCUUAAUUGACAAUAUUACAAUAUAUGAGUACUUCAUGGACAUUAAUUAGUCUAUGUAAAUCUCUGAGGUGAGCAGAUGAGAAAUGAAGAGAAAGAUACAUUAAUUAUUUGCAUCCAAUUUGGGAUAUUAAAAUCUGAUCUUUGCAAACACUUCAUACUAUAUUUUUUUGCAUAUACUAAAAGCACAGCCCCCAUUGCCUUUGGUUAUACCUCUGAGCACCUGUCUUUUUCAAGGCAGGAAUCACAUUGAUCACCGAGGAAAUGAGGAACAUCCAGGUACCUUCACACAAAUUUUGUCUUAUGAGGAAGGAGUUCUGGAGGGGCAGGACUGACUCUAAAGCAGCAUUCACACCCCAGGAGCAAUUUAUCUGCACCACUGUUCCACCUUCUCCUCACCCUCAGUUGUAAGUCCAGUACUUUGUAUAUAGCCAGUCCUCACAUCUGCUCCUUAAACUUCCCACACAUUCCUAAUCUGGCACAGCAAAUCCUUGGCCCUAGAAAAUCCAAGAUAAGUGCAUUGCAGACAUCAGAUGCAAACACAGACACAACUCAUUGCUUGGACCAUUGCCGUUAUCCUCUCCCUGGAUCAGCAGCACUGCCUGUGGCCUUUCUCCCUUCCUCCUGUACCACCUCGGUUCAGAUCUAAGUGUGAAGCACAGCCUGCCACAGAGCAUUUAACAACUACACCAAGAAAUAAAAGAAUCUUGCAUUUCGACUGGACAUGCUCAAAUCAUCAAGGAGGUUAGCUGCUAAUACUUUAAAGGUUUCUGCUGAGCAUGUGUAGAGCUGUAAGCUUUGAAAGGCCUCUGUCUUAGCUAACCCUGGCUGAAUUUGCUCAAGGACCAUAAAAGACUGUGCUCUUUCAGAAAGCCCACUUCCUCCUCCACACCUCCUGAUACCAAAUGCCAAAUACUCAUUCCAGAGACCUGAGUGAAAUGCAUUUUGCUUUUUUCCUGUAUCUGAAAAGCACCAUCACCCAUACAUGUGUGUGUUUGUGAUGUGGCAAGUGCAGCUGAGCACCUCUGAACAGCCCAGUUCCAGAAGCUGAACUCUGAAAAAUCUACAACUGGCUGGAAACAGGGCUUUAUGAUGAAAUGUGUAGAUAACUUUAAUAGCACUUGGAGCCAUCAGCCUCACCUGCAAUCAACAAUCAGAUUUGGAGAGACCUAUACCAAAACAAAAGGUGUUGUGGUGAAGCCUACCAGGCCUUUGUUUUGUUCUCCACAUUGGCAGUGUGGCAGAUACAGCCAGACAGCACUGUAAUCUGGGAACCAGAUAUCUGGGAGAGAAAUUACAGCCACACCAACACCUAGCUCUCAUCUGGGUCUAUGCAUUUAUUUAUUUAUUCAUUUAUUAUUCUCUUUGAGCUCUUUAGCUGGCUAAUUACGAAGCCUGAAUCAGCAGCUUGCCCAACUAGGGCAACUACUCCAUAUGUACCUGUGACCCUUUGAAAGAUCUCCCAGUGAGAACUCGAGUUAUUAAGCAGCAAGCCCCUCGCAAACCUCUUGGCUUUGUUCAUUUAGCUGACCAUGUAAAUGCAUGCUGUGUUCUACUACAGAGCGCUUUCUCAGUUUCCUAUUUUAAGAUGAAUUAAGGGGGGUAAAAAAAAUAUCUAUAAACCUUGACAUCACGUUUUGCAAAGGAAGCAAAUGCGCUCCUCCCUAGACUCAAAAUGAAUGGCCUUUUAAGGUGACUGCUGAAUUAAAUUCCUGAAUGAUGAAAUCAACAUGUAUGAAAAAGUGCUUGUUUCCGAAAGAGAAAAAAGCUGCAGGAAAAAAAAAAAAAAAAGGAAAAAUAAAAAGCUCGGUAGUGUGAUGGCAGGGUUGAGAGCUGAAUAGGAGCUGUUUACAGUGACUCAAUAAAGAUACUUUACUCAGCUUUGGUAGUAAUGCAGCUUCACAGGCUGAAGGGAAAUGGGGAUAUACAUAUUCUGAGCCCGCUAAGCUUCUCUAAUGUAAGACAUGUGCAUUUAGUUGAAGUCCUGAAAUACCUCACUAAGAAGAAGCAUGAUGGAAACCCCAAGCACAUCUUUCUGUUUAUCAUACAUUACAUAUUUCUGACAUUCUUUAUGCAGUAGAGUACGCAGCUGACAUAAGUCUUUAGAUAUAUAACAUGCCUGUAAGGUAUGCAGCUAAACUCCGACUCUGUGAAGACCUAAAAUACCCUUAAGAUGGUAAAAAUAAUCUCAUUAGAGGUACGGAGCACGUCUGGACAUUCUCAGGACAGAGGCACUGCUGCAGCUCAGCCUAUUGCUCUCAGAGCAGGGAGUCACGGCAUAUCAAACCAACAUGAAACACAGAAUUGUAACAAGCUCCCAGCUAUCUUGACAAAAGAACCAAAGGGAAUUCCAAGAAAGCUGUAAAUUCCUUAUAGCUCAGGAGGUCUCCAAUGAUUAGGUUGAUUAAGUCUGCCUAAGCAUUUUUCCAUCAUUUUCCACAAGAAUAUUGCAGGUAGACAAGAGCACAAUAGAUACAAAAUCUAGUUCUGAUUUCUUCUUCUCAUGAUUCUUGUUCCAGUGUGACUCCAAAACCUGGGUUUCCAACAGACUUUUCUCCAUUUUUUACUUUUGGAACAUCCCUUGUGGCUGGGUUGUUGAUAACAAUAGUAUGUGCUUCAAGGCAGGAAAGGUAUUGUUAGGUGUUGAUAUUUUUUCAUCAACAACACAUCAACCAGACUUGCUUUAAGUAAGGCUAGACCACACAGUGGUAAAAUACUGAUGUCUUAUCUUAAUUGUUUGCAGUGUAGCUACAGGCAACCUGCUAUACCAGAGAUAACCGAAUGCUAGAGGAGGGUGGCUAUUUUAGACAACUUGCAUCUGCAGGAAGGAAGAGAAUGUGAUACCUCCGCAGGACUUCAGAGUGGUUUUCCUUUUUUAAGCUCAGUUCCUCUUCAUAUCAGAUAAUUGCAGGUAGUAAAUGAAUUACUUGGACAGUCUGAAUGGGUAAUGAAGAGGAAGCUGAGUGAUGGCUUAAAGACCUUCUGCACUUAAGUCACUUGAGUAGGCUACAAGGACACAAGGUCUAGGUACCAGGAUGGGCAGGGGAAUGCUGUAGUCAAAGAUAUCUUCCAUCACGUGGUCUGGGGCUAAGUCUGGUGGUUCUGCAAGGGAUGUGACAGCAUUUACACUCCUUUAACUUCUUUGAUCUUCUUUGCUUUUUAUCUACUAAAAGAGAAAACCCUGAGUUUUGAAUCCUACUUACGUUUUGUCCAUAGCAACCGCAACACUUCCCUCAGAUUUGCUAAAAAGCACAUCUUUAAUUUAGAACAAGAAAGACAGACCUUCCUGCAGGUCCUCUGCUUCUGAGCUUGACUGAAAUUUGGAAGCCGGCACUUUCAUUACAUAGGGUGUCUCUUGAUGGCCCUUCCAAUCUUAGAGCCUUCAAACUCUGUCUUAGCAACCCACAGCUUUUGUAAGCAAUCACUGGAAAAGCACUGAGGAAAAACUGUUGAGUGAUGACUCACUCUAUCACAGUUUGGUUGCUUUAUCAUUUUCUAACGCUUCUGAUGGGAAGAUAUUUUCUAUUGUGAGAGGCUUGUUUUCCUGCUCCAUUAGAACAAUGAUCUGUAAGGAUUUCCUGAGGAGUGACUUCUCCUUAUAGGGUGUGAGAUUUGUUGUCCUUUAGCUCCUGGAAGGCCAAGCUAAUUAACCAUCACCUAGUUACUUACUACCUUCCUGUUCCCUUUCGCUUUUUCAACACCCACUUGAGAGCAGAGGGGUUGUCACAGGACAUGCACACUGGGAAAUAGGGUGUGACUAAGGACAAACCAUCAUAAAUCAGUAGUGGAGGGGGAAAGGUGUAGGAUCAAGCUAGAGCAUCCAGGGGCCAUGUUCAAACGAGAGUGCUGGGCCUUGCUGGGCUCCACAGCCUGGAGUAAUGCUAUGGGUUCAGUUCAGUUUGGCCUCCAGUGUGAGCUCCAGCUGUGGGAAUGGCCCCAUUUGUGACAAUAAUUACAACAACUGACUUCUUUUGCCUCCAACCAGAAAUAACUCUUGGGGCUUCUUAAGAAAGCAAAGGCACAACACGAGUCAAGGUUUAUCUGCUUGGGCAGGAGGCCCAAAACCACUGCAUUCUUCUCUUAUUUACAGUCUUCAGUGAAGACUUCUCUCCCCUGAUGACUGCAGAUUUUAAUAUUUCUUUACAAGCACGGCUGGCUGUUUUGGGCUGCUUGCAGGCGUAGCCACACCUGUUAGGCUAGAUGCUAAACAAGAUAAAAAGGCAUGUUUUAGGGAAAACCAUCUCAGUGACUGCAUGGCCAAAAGUGUUUGUUAAGAUCAUCCUAGGUAAGCUCACGCAGGAGUUUCAGAGAUGGAUUCUUUCAUGAAGCCAUUGACUUCUGGUUGGUUGUGAGAAGGUCUUUUAAGAUGGCAUUAAGCCUACAGAAACGCUUCUGAUCUGAUGGUAUGGGUAAAUAUACGCUUGUAUGCCUUUAGGCUGGGGGACUAGAAGAUAUGUCAGUCACAUUACAUAGUUCGCUAUUGUCCCUUUCCCGGCUCCCAGGAGGCCGAGUGAAGCAGCUGUACUGCAGGGAUGCCAACCCUCAGCAAAAUACAGCAAUUGUUUUAUGAGUUUAAUGCUCUUUAUUUCCUAACUUAUUUACCAGGGGCAUGUGUGGAGCUCUGUGGAAGUCAGUUUGCUGAGGAAGAAAGCCUUAAAAACACUCCUCCAUUUUAAGAUGUGUUGUUUUGCAUUGAAUACAAGUGCUCUGUUGUAGAACAUUAGAAUUUCAUUUUAAAAAAAAAUGAAAAUGAGGAGGGGAGGAAGGACCUGGACAGGAAAACUCCAAAACACUGAAAUAGCUCUUCAGCUCACACUGGGAAAAGCUAAGACAGAAACCAGGUUGGCCCAUUCUCAUCUCCAUUUCCUAAUUGAUUGCAUCAGCCACCAAAUCAUCGCAGCGAGGGUGGGGACCUCACUGCCUUGGGAUCAUGCAGCCUCUGCCCCAGUGGCUGCCAUGCCGAAGGGCAAAUGGCUUCUUCAUGGCACUGUAUCUCAGUGAAUCUAAUCUGACCUCCAUGCAAAACUGCCAGCUUGGUAUUUGCUAGCUCAGGUGCUGCUAUCACCUCCAUGUUUACAGAAAGAUAUCGGUAAUGGCUGUGACACUGCCAGUCUCUCUACUAAGGGGAAUUAAUUGCAGGAUUGGGGCCCCGCUAUGAAGCGGAUAAAAGGGAUAUAGAAAAGCGGCGGAGCCCAGACAGCAUUAGAUAAAUGGUGGUGAGAAAGCCUGCGUUUAUAGCACUAAUGUAACUGUGCUUCCUGAAAAAAAAAAAAAAGAGAGAAAAGAACAAGAAAUUCCCCAGUGUAGGCAUACUUAUUGUUUGCCAGAAAGCAUUCUGAAUUCCUCAAUAAUCAGUCAGGAAGCGGUAAAAUCUGUCAGACAAAUGACCAACAUGUUAUUUUUUCCAAUAUCGAAUAUAUGUUUUAGGUCAUUACUAUUAGAGAAAAACAUUUUGUGGCCAAUGCAAUUUAUUUUUUCAGCCAUGCUAAACUUGUAAGUCACACACAGUGAAUGGAACCUUUGCACACACACACACACACACACACACAAACAUGGUAAGAACUUUGUUUCAGUCCAGACCAGUACUUUGCCUUGUAGAUGCAUUAGCUAUUAGCACUCACUGUUCUUUCAAGAAAUCACACAAGCAGAAAUUCUGUUAGUGUUUUCCCAUUCAAACGAUCAGAAAAGUGGAAUUAAUUGUAAUAGCUAUAAUAUCUGUGCUGCCUGUAGACACCUGGAUUUCCCAUCAGAAACUAAUGCAAAAAUACGCAAGAUAAUUUCUGAUUUUUUUUUUAGUUACUUUGUGUUAUUACUUUGGUCUAACUUCCUCUGUGGUGGAAGGCAAAGUGCUGACUUUACAUCAAAAUAGGUCUACUACCUUUGGAAGGCUUUUCUGAGGACCUCCUGUGAAGUUUUCCUGUUCUCACCAUUGGAUCUUUUUUUUCUCUGAUGGGUGUAAAUUAGUAGGACUUCACCUUAGUAGGACUUCACCUGGCGUUGCUGUUGGAGUUGAGUCAGCAGAGUAACACUGUGAUUCUUUCCAGCUUCUUUGCUUGUAGAUAAAGAGAAAGAACGCUAGCUUAAUAACCUUUCCCCAUUGUGCCCCAGAGGUUGGGCAUCUUGCCAUACACAGAUGUUAUCAAAAAUGGAAUCAUUUUAUAAAUAAACUGUGAAUUAACAGCUGUCUGGAUAAAUGUAUGCUUUGGUCCAUGACUGAUGUCUUCCAUUCUUUGAGAACGUUCUCUAAAUAAAUCGAAUGUUUUCAUUUUGUACUUUGUUAUGAUUUAUCACGUUGUGGUUUAUUUUAAGUCUUUGAAUGCUCGCUCUUCCACUUGCUGAACUUCAGACAUGGAAUUAAAAUCCCCUUGGCUGCACAGUCUCCUCCCCAUGUUCUGAAGGAGAAGCCACGUAGCUAUCACAAUGGAUUAAGACAUCCUGCAUUAAAAACCUGUGUCACUUUUGCAACCGUGUGCAUUUAUGCAACGAGACAUCAGUAGCUAAUGGGUCCAUCUAAGACAUUAAGUUGAAUGGACACUUUUUUUUCAUAGCGGUGGUAAUUAUGAAUACUCUGAAAAAGGCUUCUUUGCCAAUUGUAUCCCAAGAAAAUCAAACAGUGUUCUCUUGCAAAAGAAAAAAAAUAUUAAAUAAAUAAAAAAGCUUGGCAAAUCUUCAGCCAUCUUAUUCCAUUACAUACCAUUAAGAAAAACAGUGGCUUGUUUAUUCACUGCAAGUUAAAUAUAUGUACAGUAGAUCUUUUGAAAGUCCCUAAAUGCUGCUUUAGCCUGCUGUAUGUCAAAGGCAUGGCCUCAAGCAAAGUGCUCUUCUAAAAGGCUACUUUUACACAUAUGUGCUGUGGAUAACCCAUAGCACUAAUAGGUAAAUAAUCAAAGAAAUGCAAUGAUUUUGAAUUCUUUCCAAUAGAAUUACCACAGCUGCCUUUCCUUUCUGAAUUCAGGCACAGUGGAGUUGUGGGGAUAUCCAUCCAUCUAUAAGGAAAGAGUUGGUUUUGGUCAGCGUGCCUCAAAAAAUCAGUAUAAAACUCACAAACUUUCUACAGAACUCUUGUUUUUCUGGGAAAGAAUAUUAAUGGUGUAGAAGUACGUUCACAAUAAAUACCUUUUGCUGUUACCAAACACAUCAGCUUGCAUUUGGUCUUUAGUUAUGCCUUAAGCCAUUUAUUUACUGUCUAGUCAUGAUUCAUAACUAUAGAUUGCUGCCAAGUGAAUUCCAUUGCCAUGGGGAUAUUUGCAGACAUUUUAAAUAGUUGAGAUAAAUAAAAUAAAGUAGAAACCCACCAAGAAAUAAAGCGAUACAAAAUGGGUGAUAACUAUCUUGCAAACUAGAAUUAAAUACACUGAAUUUUUGGUCCGCAUUGUCAACACAGCAUUAACUACCUGAGCUGCAUAAUAAAUACACGACAAGUAGAACAAUAGUACAAUUCUUUCCUCUGUGAAAGUAGUCAAAACACUUGUUAAAGAAGGGUAACGUCGGGGAGUAUUUGCUGCCUACAUAACUGAACCCACUUUCACUAACAUUCAAUUUUUGAAGGAAAUAAAGAACACGCUGCCAUGAGUCUGUAAGGAAGUGUCAUAUCCAAUGGAUGAUUUCUAUUGCAGUGUCUUUGAUGAAAACAAGUAAUACCUGAACACGAGCAUGGGCAUCCUCAGUAUUAGUAUAUACAUAAAGCAUGAAUUAAUGCAACUAGGAAUUCCAGAUUAUGCCUCUCACUUUGUAAUACGUACACUGAAGAAACCAAUUCUGAAGCCUGCCUGCAAAAAGCACAUUAUUACUUCAGAAACUCUCUAACACUCAAACUUUGUCAUUACA